rnacentral:rRNA from 1 species
UACGUAGGGUGCAAGCGUUAUCCGGAAUUAUUGGGCGUAAAGAGCUCGUAGGCGGUUUGUCGCGUCUGCUGUGAAAACUGGAGGCUCAACCUCCAGCCUGCAGUGGGUACGGGCAGACUAGAGUGCGGUAGGGGAGAUUGGAAUUCCCGGUGUAGUGGUGGAAUGCGUAGAUAUCGGGAGGAACACCAGUGGCGAAGGCGGUUGCCUGGAGCUUUGCUGACGCUGAGGCGCGAAAGCGUGGGGAGCGAUCCGG